rnacentral:rRNA from 1 species
UACGUAGGGGGCAAGCGUUGUCCGGAAUUAUUGGGCGUAAAGAGCUCGUAGGUGGCCUGUCGCGUCGGCUGUGAAAACUCGGGGCUCAACUCCGAGCUUGCAGUCGAUACGGGCAGGCUAGAGUUCGGCAGGGGAGACUGGAAUUCCUGGUGUAGCGGUGAAAUGCGCAGAUAUCAGGAGGAACACCGGUGGCGAAGGCGGGUCUCUGGGCCGAUACUGACACUGAGGAGCGAAAGCGUGGGGAGCGAACAGGA